rnacentral:rRNA from 1 species
UACAGAGGUCUCAAGCGUUGUUCGGAUUCAUUGGGCGUAAAGGGUGUGUAGGUGGCGCCGUAAGUCGGGUGUGAAAUUUCGGAGCUUAACUCCGAAACUGCAUUCGAUACUGCGGUGCUUGAGGACUGGAGAGGAGACUGGAAUUCAUGGUGUAGCAGUGAAAUGCGUAGAGAUCAUGAGGAAGACCAGUGGCGAAGGCGGGUCUCUGGACAGUAACUGACGCUGAGGCACGAAGGCCAGGGGAGCAAACGGG